AUUGCCCUGCGCCCCGAGCGGUCCCACCGCCCGGCAAAACACUGAGCAAGCCGCUGCUCUCACCUUGCUUGACACACUUGAGCCGGAGGGGGUCCUUGCAGUGUUUGAUCACGGCCAGCACGUCCCUGAUGGUGAGCCCCGCCACGGGGGUCUCGUUCACCUCCAGCAGCAGCUCCUCCGACACCAAUUUGCUGCCGCUCUCAUAGGCCACCUUGCCGGGCUUCACCUCCCCCAGUAAUGUCUUACAAUAACAGAAUGCAGGAGAGCACAUAUCAAUGAAGAAAAGACAAAAUGUACUUAUCCAUGAAGCUGAGGUUAAGAAACCAGUGUCUUCAAGAGCCAGGGACAGCACUGGGUCUGUGCAGAGUUGAGAGAUGGUGAUGACAUGUGACAGAGCUCCUUGCUGCUCAAAUUUUAUGCCAGAUAAAAUAUUCACCUUCUCGGACUCCCUGGCACCAGGCAUGGCCAUGUAAUCCUACAGCACAGCUGAUGAAAGAGAAGACAUCUUGCUGCUAUUUGACAAGCAAGAAGAUAAAAGCUUUCCUAUAAAGAUGAUGGAGCAAAAAAAUAGAAGGGGCCUAGACUCCCUACCUUCACACUUCCUGCUAUAAAAGCAUUGCUAUUAUAAGGUUAAUCUGCAGAAACAGACUUCUAUGUCAUAUGCUUAAAUGCAUCAAAAUUCAUACAAUAUCCAUUAAAUUGGUAAAAGUAUCCAUUUUAAAGGAUUAAUCUGAGGGACCCACAGACACUUAACACAAUCAAAUCUCAGAAAAAAAAUCAGUUAUUUCAUUGUGAUUUUGAGGCUGAUCUUUUAUGAUCUUUUAGUUAUCAAACUGUUAAAUACAUUUUAACUUUCAAAUUUUAUGAAUAAAGGAGAUGAAUCCUGUUAUUUUCUCAGUGAAAAAAAAAAAAAAAAAA
rnacentral:lncRNA from 1 species